AUACGUAGGGGGCAAGCGUUGUCCGGAAUCAUUGGGCGUAAAGCGCGUGUAGGCGGUUUCGUAAGUCUGCUGUGAAAGUCGGAGGCUCAACCUUCGAAUGCCAGUGGAUACUGCGAGACUUGAGUACGGAAGAGGAGAGUGGAAUUCCUGGUGUAGCGGUGAAAUGCGCAGAUAUCAGGAGGAACACCAACGGCGAAGGCAGCUCUCUGGGACGUUACUGACGCUGAGACGCGAAAGCGUGGGGAGCAAACAGGA
rnacentral:rRNA from 1 species